rnacentral:lncRNA from 1 species
CAUCCAAACAACAUUGUUGCAAGCUUCUUUAUGGCAAUAUAUUUUGCAUGCAUAAUGGAAAACACUAAAGUAAUUACUUUUAAUGUUUCCAUCCAAAUAUCUCUUUAGUCAUAAUAAAAGGAUAUCUAAUUAUCUCUUCAUUCAUAAUGAAGAAACAUCCAAUGAUGGAUUAGAUUCAUAAUCUAAUACAUUUACGCUUCCAUUACGUUACUCUAAUUCUUUCUCAUUCUUUGAGGAAUAUAUCCUUUAUUAUUUCUCAAAUACUUAAGGAUUCACUUGACAGUUGCCAUGGUCCUGAUCUUGGGCUUGCAUUGAUAUCGUCUUGUACCGAUCUUGAUACAACUAAUAUCAACGUUUUUCAUACAACAUGAAAUACGUAAAUCACCUUUUUGCGUAUGCAUAAAGGAUUCUAUUUACACAUUAUUUCUUUAAGAGUCAAAGGGUACGUUCCCUUUGAGAAAAGCUACCUCCUAGUCUCACUAGAGUUGUUCUUCUGAUUGAAGUUUAUCAUACAUGAGAAACUUCCUAGCAUCUUUUGUCUAUUAUUAGGGAUUGAUAUAAUCCAAUUAUAUCUUGAAAUCUAUCAUUGUAGAUUUCCAUCCCAUGUAUAUAGACUAUGUCUCCCAUAUACAUUUUAUCGUUAUAGAAUGUUUAAACUCAUAACUUUA